rnacentral:rRNA from 1 species
CAAUAGCGUAUAUUUAAGUUGUUGCAGUUAAAAAGCUCGUAGUUGGAUUUCGGAUGGGAUUUGCCGGUCCGUCGUUACGAUGUGCACUGGCCAGUCCUAUCUUGUUGUCGGGGACUAGCUCCUUGGAUUCACUUCCUGGGACUAGGAGCUGACGAGGUUACUUUGAGUAAAUUAGAGUGUUCAAAGCAAGCCUACGCUCUGAAUACAUUAGCAUGGAAUAACACGAUAGGACUCUGGCCUAUCUUGUUGGUCUGUAGGACCGGAGUAAUGAUUAAGAGGGACAGUCGGGGGCAUUCGUAUUUCAUUGUCAGAGGUGAAAUUCUUGGAUUUAUGAAAGACGAACUACUGCGAAAGCAUUUGCCAAGGAUGUUUUCAUUAA